AGAGUUUGAUCAUGGCUCAGAUUGAACGCUGGCGGCAGGCUUAACACAUGCAAGUCGAGCGGAAACGAUGAUAGCUUGCUAUCAGGCGUCGAGCGGCGGACGGGUGAGUAAUACUUAGGAAUCUGCCCAGUAGUGGGGGAUAGCUCGGGGAAACUCGAAUUAAUACCGCAUACACCCUACGGGGAAAAGGGGGCGCUUGCGCUCUCGCUAUUGGAUGAGCCUAAGUCGGAUUAGCUAGUUGGUGGGGUAAAGGCCUACCAAGGCGACGAUCUGUAGCUGGUCUGAGAGGAUGAUCAGCCACACCGGGACUGAGACACGGCCCGGACUCCUACGGGAGGCAGCAGUGGGGAAUAUUGGACAAUGGGGGGAACCCUGAUCCAGCCAUGCCGCGUGUGUGAAGAAGGCCUUUUGGUUGUAAAGCACUUUAAGCAGUGAAGAAGACUCUAUGGUUAAUACCCAUAGACGAUGACAUUAGCUGCAGAAUAAGCACCGGCUAACUCUGUGCCAGCAGCCGCGGUAAUACAGAGGGUGCAAGCGUUAAUCGGAAUUACUGGGCGUAAAGCGAGCGUAGGUGGCUUAAUAAGUCAGAUGUGAAAUCCCCGGGCUUAACCUGGGAACUGCAUCUGAUACUGUUAGGCUAGAGUAGGUGAGAGGGAGGUAGAAUUUCAGGUGUAGCGGUGAAAUGCGUAGAGAUCUGAAGGAAUACCGAUGGCGAAGGCAGCCUCCUGGCAUCAUACUGACACUGAGGUUCGAAAGCGUGGGUAGCAAACAGGAUUAGAUACCCUGGUAGUCCACGCCGUAAACGAUGUCUACUAGUCGUUGGGGAACUUGAUUCCUUAGUGACGCAGCUAACGCAAUAAGUAGACCGCCUGGGGAGUACGGCCGCAAGGUUAAAACUCAAAUGAAUUGACGGGGGCCCGCACAAGCGGUGGAGCAUGUGGUUUAAUUCGAUGCAACGCGAAGAACCUUACCUGGUCUUGACAUAUCUAGAAUCCUGCAGAGAUGCGGGAGUGCCUUCGGGAAUUAGAAUACAGGUGCUGCAUGGCUGUCGUCAGCUCGUGUCGUGAGAUGUUGGGUUAAGUCCCGCAACGAGCGCAACCCUUUUCCUUAGUUACCAGCGGUUUGGCCGGGGACUCUAAGGAUACUGCCAGUGACAAACUGGAGGAAGGCGGGGACGACGUCAAGUCAUCAUGGCCCUUACGACCAGGGCUACACACGUGCUACAAUGGUAGGUACAGAGGGCUGCUACACAGCGAUGUGAUGCGAAUCUCAAAAAGCCUAUCGUAGUCCAGAUUGGAGUCUGCAACUCGACUCCAUGAAGUCGGAAUCGCUAGUAAUCGCGGAUCAGAAUGCCGCGGUGAAUACGUUCCCGGGCCUUGUACACACCGCCCGUCACACCAUGGGAGUUGAUUGCACCAGAAGUGGGUAGCCUAACUUUUAGAGGGCGCUCACCACGGUGUGGUCGAUGACUGGGGUGAAGUCGUAACAAGGUAGCCGUAGGGGAACCUGCGGCUGGAUCACCUCCUU
rnacentral:rRNA from 1 species